rnacentral:rRNA from 1 species
GUAGGUGAACCUGCGGAGGGAUCAUUACCGAGCUAGGGUCUCACCGGCCCGAUCUCCCAACCCUUUGUCUACUUGACCAUCGUUGCUUCGGCGAGCCCGUCCUCACGGACCGCCGGGGGGUCUUUGUACCCCUUGGCCCGCGCUCGUCGACAGCCCCCAAAUUUAAAAAAUCUUAACUAAACGUGUCUUGAAUCUAAGUAUUAUUGUUAAAUAAAAACAAAACUUUCAACAACGGAUCUCUUGGUUCUGGCAUCGAUGAAGAACGCAGCGAAAUGCGAUAAGUAAUGCGAAUUGCAGAAUUCCAGUGAGUCAUCGAAUCUUUGAACGCACAUUGCGCCCUUUGGUAUUCCGAAGGGCAUGCCUGUUCGAGCGUCAUUAUCACCCCUCAAGCCCUCGGCUUGGUGUUGGACGGCUUGGUGGAGACCCCCUUUGCGGGCUUCUACCCCUCCCAAAGACAAUGACGGCGGCCUCGUUGGACCCCCGGUACACUGAGUUCUUCACGGGACACGUAUCGGACACAUGGGUUCACGGGACACGGUCUGCCUCCCCUCAGGGAGAAUCUUUUUUUAUCAAGGUUGACCUCGGAUCAGGUAGGGAUACCCGCUGAACUUAA